AGUCUCUGUCCCACAGACAGGUAUAAAAUGUUAAGAGCCCUAUUGGAAUAUCUGCCACAGAGAAGGCAGAACAGGUAUUUCUCAAGCAGAUGUUGGCUGAUUAUAAAUGAGGGGAGUAUAUUAUUUAACAAGUUGGAUCUUGCAACAGGCCUUGCUGUUUUUUCUCUAUUCUAUGCGUUUUGGAGGGGCAUUGAUUACCUAUGUGUAAUGGUUCCAUUAAUCUUUCAAGUUGUUUUGUCGUUUGGACUUGAAAAGAGCAGGCAAAAGAAUCCUCGAAGCUUAUGUAUCCAGACACAGACAGCUCCCGAUGUGCUGCCCCCUGAGAAAACACUUGAAUUGACGCAAUAUAAAACAAAAUGUGAAAACCAAAGUGGAUUUAUCCUGCAGCUCAAGCAGCUUCUUGCCUGUGGUAAUACCAAGUUUGAGGCAUUGACAGUUGUGAUUCAGCACCUGCUGUCUGAGCGGGAGGAAGCGCUGAAACAACACAAAACCCUAUCUCAAGAACUUGUUAACCUCCGGGGAGAGCUAGUCACUGCUUCAACCACCUGUGAGAAAUUAGAAGAAGCCAGGAAUGAG
rnacentral:sRNA from 1 species